CACACACACACAGGGUGAUAGACGCUACAUUAACCUGUCCCACUGAGCAUUUCCUUCAGAUGUAUUGGCACCCUCGAUCCCUUGUGAUACUCAGUGUGUGGAGAAUAACUUCAUGGCGUAGUGUAUCGUGCAUCGUGAAGGUGAAAGAGGUGUGUAUGGAAAAACAAACCAUCUUAACAUGUGUGGGUGAGAGAGGAAGAAGAAAUUCAUUUAUACUACACACUGUUUCCUCAAAAACAUCAUUAAAAUCAUGUGACCUGAGACAGAGAGAGAGAGAGAGAGAGAGAGAGUU